rnacentral:rRNA from 1 species
UCCACGCCGUAAACGAUGCAUACUAGGUAUUGGGAUUAUCGACCUUCCUUGUACCGAAGCUAACGCGUUAAGUAUGCCGCCUGGGGAGUACGGUCGCAAGACUAAAACUCAAAGGAAUUGACGGGGGCUCGCACAAGCGGGGGAACAUGAGGUUUAAUUCGACAGUAAGCGAAGAACCUUACCAGGAUUCACCCUAUUGGAAUCCCUAAGAAACUAGGGAGUGCCCGCAAGGGAGCCGAUAGGCCGGUGUUGCACGGUUGUCGUCAGCUCGUGUCGUGAGAUGUAAGCUUAAGUGCUGAAACGAGCGCAACCCUUGUCCCGU